rnacentral:tRNA from 1 species
GCGCCUGUAGCUCAACGGAAGAGCGCCCGGUCGACACCGGGAGGUCGCGGGUUCGAACCCCGCCAGGGGCA